UAGGGAAUCUUCCACAAUGGACGCAAGUCUGAUGGAGCAACGGCCGCGUGAGUGAAGAAGGCUUUCGGGUCGUAAAACUCUGUUGUUGGAGAAGAAUGGUCGGCAGAGUAACUGUUGUCGGCGUGACGGUAUCCAACCAGAAAGCCACGGCUAACUACGUGCCAGCAGCCGCGGUAAUACGUAGGUGGCAAGCGUUAUCCGGAUUUAUUGGGCGUAAAGCGAGCGCAGGCGGUUUUUUAAGUCUGAUGUGAAAGCCCUCGGCUUAACCGAGGAAGUGCAUCGGAAACUGGGAAACUUGAGUGCAGAAGAGGACAGUGGAACUCCAUGUGUAGCGGUGAAAUGCGUAGAUAUAUGGAAGAACACCAGUGGCGAAGGCGGCUGUCUGGUCUGUAACUGACGCUGAGGCUCGAAAGCAUGGGUAGCGAACAGGAUUAGAUACCCUGGUAGUCCAUGCCGUAAACGAUGAAUGCUAGGUGUUGGAGG
rnacentral:rRNA from 1 species